CAGAAUGGAAUUUCACUGAUUUAUUGUUUACGCAAUGCUUUUGAAUAUUGUAGGUAUGUCGGUGUACCUACUGUACCUCAUGUGGAAUAAUGAGCUGUGUUUGAACUACGGUGGUAUACAGUCUCACUGCGGUUUCUGACCUGGUAAUUAAGAACGAAGACAAUUAAAGUGGAUGAGCUGAAACAAGUUGUACGUUUGACUGUCGGCUUGGCCCUCGCCAUGGACGUAAUUGACUUGGAAAUAAUAAUUAACCCCCGUAACGACCUGCCACUCCCUUGGUUACUCGAUGCUGCUGACCGACUUUACAAAAGCUCAGGGCUCUUGUACCAGUCAGCUGCACCGAUAAAGGGGUUGGCGCAUCGUCUUGAGCACCAUCUCCAACAACCUCCUAUGUCGCACCCACCGUUCUCUUCGGUUCGCCGCGGUCUGACCUGGCGCUUCCGGCACCCCUUAAGAAAAUCAGAAUGGAUAAGUGGCUCGUUAUAAUCCAGGAGAAAGAAGUCCUCUCGGCGAGAAAACUUCAGGGCGAGAUAGGAGCUGCAAGGGUGAUAAUGAAGGGUUUCGAGUGUAAGAGUGAGGCAGAGAACACACAUAUAUAUAUAUAUAUAUAUAUAUAUAUAAGCAAGGCAGAGCUAUGUAUAGAUAGUUAAGGGUAGUAGUGACAGAGGCCGUCCCACGCUUCUUUCUUACCCUUCCACAAGAACCCCUGGUUGGACACUGGCAGUGGGAAUUUAUUAAAGAGUCGGAAGGGGUCAAGGGAGCGCACUGACUUUAUCAGCCUACAGCCUAAGACCUACAACCGUCGGUUGAUAGCCUACGGAGUAUCAACCUAACCUAUCCUGAACACCUAGAGAGUCUUCGCUCUUUAUGCGAGUAACGUAGCGCACAAGCUGCCUUACCAAAGACAAUACUCGCGACGUUUUCAGAAUUUUUAAACCUCUUC